ensembl:lincRNA
GGGACAGCAGAGGGGAGCUUGGGGACUGACAUCCCAAAGGCCUGGUCCCCUCCUUGCUCUCGCAGCCAGUCCUUGCUCUAGGACAGUGACCCAUGUCUGCAGCCCGACCCAGCCCACCCACAGAGCCCGGCGUCCCAGAGCUGCUGGGGUGCACGGUGGUCGGGAGGUGAGUGGCUGGGCAGUCCUCCGCAGGGCUGCUGCCAGGUAUCAGCCUCGGAGGUUUCCCUGAAACAGAGCCAACGCCCCCCCAGACCUGGGCAGACCGCAUGAGCGUAGGGGUCAGGGGACCGGGUCCCCCAGAGGUGUCAGAAAAAUGCUCCCAGGAGGAGGACGCCAGGCUGCUGAGGCCUGUGGCUGACACCAGGGGGCAGGGCGGGGCGGCGGGGACAGCGUCCGGAGGAGGGAGCCGCCCAGACCUAGCCCGGGGGGGCGAACGAAGAGCGGGCGUGGUGGGCGCCUGCUAGCUCCGGCUCGCGGUGUUAGGCCUUGGGGACAUCGCUCGGGGACAGGAGAGCCCCAGGCCCCCGCCGCCCCGAGCCGUGGCCGGGAAGGGGAACACAGUCCAUGCGUGCGGCGCCCGACGGCCUCUCCCCGCACGCCCGAGCCCCAGUGCAGGCGGCGGCCCGGCCCCUUUGUGCCUGGAGUGUCACGCGCGGGCGCUCCUGCCGCCGCGCCUGGGAGAGGCCUCCGGCACCCCGGGCCCCUUUCCAAGCACAACAGCAGCCCUGCCGCGGCCCCGCGCUGACCCACUUUCCCUCCUGCCUCCUCAGCCCGAGGCCGAGAAUCCAGCGGCCGCCGCCAAGCAGCCCUUCCUGCCAGACCUCUGCCUCCGAUGGGCGAGCCCCGUUGCUGGGAGGCGGUUCACUAUGGAGCCUGGACCCACCUCACAGUUCAGCCCGCCGGAGGCGUGUGCGCUUCCAGAUGAGAGCACUUGUUCACUGAAUGACCGCAGCCAUUGUUAAUGGGUGCGUGUGUACAGUUCUGGGCACAUACCAACAUGCACGGAUGCGUGUUAACCUGCUUUGUAUAGAAGAAACGGGGUCAGAAUAUCAUAAAAAGAAUUAAUGGGUAAUCAGUAUUCAUCAAAUGCCAAGAUCUUGGUCUGAGCACUUUGCAAAUAUUAAUUUAAUCACCACGAACCUCAGUAAAGUUUAUUACUAUUACUCGCAUUUUUCAGAUGAGGCGCCUAAGGCACAGAGAGGUUAAGUAGCCUGCCCAGGAUCACAUAGCUACUAAGUACAGAAGUCAGAAUUUGAGCCUGACUCCAGAGCUCAUAAGGUUAACAACGAGGCCUCCCACUUUUAUAUGCGUAUUAUUCCAUGAAUUACUGUUUACACUAAGAAUAUGUUCUUUUCUGCAACCAAUGGAAGAUUCCUAGAAGAGGAACUGCUGGCUAUGUGGCAUUGAGAUUUUUCUUUUUCUUUUUUUUUCUGAGAUGGAGUCUAGCUCUUUCGCCCAGGCUGGAGUGCAGUGGCACGAUCUCAGCUCACUGCAACCUCCGCCUCCUGGGUUCAAGCGGUUCUCCUGCCUCAGCCUCCCAAAUAUCUAGGAUUACAGGCCUGCCAUUAUGCCCAGCUAAUUUUUGUAUUUUAAGUAGAGAUAGGGUUUCACUGUGUUGGCCAGGCUGGUCUUGAACUCCUCACAUCGUGAUCCACCCGCCUCGACCUCCCAAAGUUCUGGGAUUACGAGCAUGAGCCACCGCGCCCGGCCGUGUGUUUGAGAUUCCUAGAGACAUUAGUAAAACCCUCCAAAAGAGUGGGGACCUUACACCAGCCUGCCCGUUCAAGCUCCAUACUGGACCUCCACCUCCCCAACCCCCACCCCCACCCCACCAGAAAAGGACCCUCCAUCCCCUUCAGGUCAUAGAGUGAGGAAGAGGGAAGCUUCAACAGGCCCAUUAUGGCCCUGGUAAUGGGCACGGUGACAUUUGGGCAGAGAACCCCAGGGCCCUGCAUCUGCAGACCUGGGACACGCAGAGAAUGUCCAAUGGGGGUGCUAGUGGCAUUGCCUGGCCAUGACUCUGUCCAGCUGUGGCAUCAUGUCCCAUGGCCAAAGUGUCUGAGCAAGCCUGCUUCUGCCAUUGACCUAGGGAGGCCUCUUGACACCUGCUCAUUGUCCAAGCCUGUUCCUCCUGCAUCCUCAAGAUUCGGAGUGCCCUCCAAAAUAAGAUCUUUUUCUGUAGUUGUUACUAUGGGUUGAGAACCCUCCUGUCUGAUACAUACAACUGAUUACAAACUUUUAAUUUUUGCCAAUCUGAUAAGCAAAAAAAAAAGAAAGUAGUUCAUGGAUUUAGUUUACAUUUCCUUUUUAAUAGGGAGGUUGGGUAGAGACUUCUUGGUUUGCUCAUGCCUGUAAUCCUAGCACUUUGGGAGGCUAAGGUAGGAAGAUCGCUUGAACUCAGGAAUUCAAGCCAACCUGGGCAACAUAGCAAGACCUCACCUCCACUAAAGGGAAAAAACAAUCCAUGUUCUUUUCUUCCAGCCCAACAGAUCUGUGGCUGGGCAGCAGCUGCUGAGCUCAGCUACAAUUCCAGCCUGCUUUACAGUUAGGCUUGUCCACAGGACCAAGUUCUCAGUGACAGAGUAAGAGCAGACCUGUGAUAGGAGCCUCUUCUGUACCUGGGCCUCCAAGCUGCCUAGAAUCUGGCUGUGGCAGUGCCCAAGGGGAGGCGAGCAGCAGGAGAGGAGGGUCCUGGGGUUUGGGGGGACCAGGAGGAGCAGAGCUGCUGCUCAGCUCAGACCCAGAACCUGAGAAAGAAAGAGCGAUGGCUCAUUUUAUGUGUUAACUUAAAUAUCUGGCCACAUCGCUCAGAUAUUUGAUUAGACACUAUUCUAGAUGUUUUUAUGAAGGUAUUGAUUAAUUGAUUGAUUGAUUGAGACAGUCUCACUCUGUUGCCCAGGCUGGAGUGCGGUGGCACAAUCUUGGCUUACUGCAACCUCCACCUCCCAGGUUCAAGUGAUUCUCGUGCCUCAGCCUCCCAAGUAGCUGGGAUUACAGGCAUGUGCCACCAUGCCUGGCUAAUUUUUGUAUUUUUAGUAGAGAUGGGGUUUCACCAUGUUGGCCAGGCUGGUCUCCUGACCUGAAGUGAUCUGCCCACCUUGGCCUCCCAAAGUGCUGGGAUUACAGGCCUGAGCUACCACAACCGGUGAAAGUACUUUUUAAGAUAAGAUUAGCAUUUAAAUCAGAAGAUUUUGAGUAAAGCAGAUUAUUCUCCACAAUGUGGGCAGAUCUCAUCCCAUCAGCUGAAGACCUUAAGAGAAAAGAGACUGACCUGCUGUGAGCAAGGAGGAAUUCUGCUGGCCAACUGCUUGUGAACUCCAACUUGUAAUAUCGGUCUCCAGCCUACCGGCUUACUCUGCAGAUUUUGGAUUUGCCAGGCCUCCACAACCGCAGAAGCCAAUUCCUUAAAAUAAAUCCCUUACAACAGUUCCCUAAAAUAAAUUCUUCAAAAUUCCUUAAAAUAAAUGUGUGUGCCUGUGUGUCUGUGUAUAUAUAUAGCCUAUGUAAUGUCUAAUAUAGAUCUAUAAUAUAUAUUAGAUAAAUAUACACAUACUUAUCAUAUAUAUAUAUGUGUGUGGGUGUUUCUCCUAUUGGUUGUGUUCUCUGGAGAACCUAAUACAGAAACAGAUCUGUUUAUUCUUCUAGCCUCUGUAUCAUCAGGCCUCUUUUUUAGAGCAGGUGAGCUUUACCCUAACUAAUUCAGAGGUUGAUUCGUUUUCAUGCAUGUAGAUACUUGUCAUUUAGCUUCUAUUAUCUGCCUGUAUUUUAAGGUUCUUUGUCUUAAAAUGUUAUGACUCCAGGAAUGUAAUAUAUUAAGUAUAUUAACCUUUUGACUAUUAUAUAUCUUGCAAACAUCUUGUAAUCAGUCACUUGUCUCUUUAUUUUAUUUGGAGCGGCUUUCAACCUAGAGCAGUGGUCCCCAAACCCGGGGCUGCAGACUAUUCCCUGUCUGUGGUUUGUUAAGAACCAGGCUACAUAGCAGAAGAUGAGUAGCAGGCGCGGGAGCAUGACCACCUGAGCUCCGCCUCCUGUCAGACCAGCAGCGACAUUAGAUUCUCAUAGGAGCACAAACCCUAUUGUGAACUGUGCGUAUGAGGGAUCUAGGUUGCACAUUCCUUAAAAGACUCUUAAUGCCUGAUGAUCUGAGGUGGAACAGGUUCACCCUGAAACCAUGCCCCGCUCAGCCCGGGUCUGUGGAAAAAUUGUCUUCCAUGAAACUGGUCCCUGGUGCCAAAAAGGCUGACCUGGUGCCAAAAAGGGACUGCUGACCUAGAAGAUAUAUUAGUUAUGACUCUUGGUGCAUACUCGUGACAGAAAUCCCACUCAACCUAGUAUAAUGCAGAGGACAGUUCACUGAGCAACUCAAAUAAUUGCCACUUUUACAAUAUUGAAGCUUCCUACGGGAAACAUAAUACAUCUCUCAAUUUAUGUCCUUUAAUACGAUUAAACAUUUUUCUUCAUGUAGGUUCUCCAGAAUUUUGGUUAUGCCUAUGCCUAGAUUAUUUAUGAUUGUUGUUGGUAUUGCAAAUGUCCUCUCCUAUUGAUUAUUUAAUGGUAUCUAUGGAAAGUAUUGAUUUUUGUGUAUUUGCUCUGUGCCCACUUACCAUCUAACUGGUUGUUAUAUUUUAUUGAACCUUUCAAAGGAUAUGAAUUAUGCUGAUUUUAAUGUCUUCCUCUGAUUCCUGCAUUAUUAUCCUGUUUUCUCCAGGGUUCUGUCUACUUCUUCUGCAGGCUGUUGGUUUCCUUCAAAUGUCUGGGGAUUCUUGAUUGUCUGAUCCCAUUUGUAAAUGAACGUCCAGAGAGUGGUUUUCAAAGUGAGAUCCAUGGACCCCUAAGGGUUCUUAAGACUCUUUCUGGGUGUCUGCAAAGCCAAAACUAUUUAAUAGGAAUAAAAAAGACUUGUUUUUCCUAAUGGGUGUUCAGGUGCUCACUUCAGCAGCACAUAUACAAAUGGGUGUUCAGUGGAGUUUUCCAGAGUCUACAUGAUGUGUGUUAUCACUACAGCUUGAAAGAAGGAGGUAUGAAAAUCCAGCUGUUGGCUGGGCAUGGCGGCUCCUGCCUGUAAUCCCAACACUUUGGGAGGCUGAGGCAGACAGACCACUUGAGGUCAGGAGUUUGAGACCAGCCUGGCCAACAUGGUGAAACCCCAUCUCUACUAAAAAUACAAAAAAAAAAAAAAAGCUAGGCGUGGUGGUGCAUUCCUGUAAUCCCAGCUACUUGGGAGGCUGAGGCAGGAGGAUUGCUUGAACUGGGAGGCAGAGGUUGCAGUGAGCCAAGAUUGUGCCACUGCAUUGCAGCCUGGGUGUCAGAGUGAGACUCUGUCUCAAUAAAUAAAUUUAAA